rnacentral:rRNA from 1 species
ACAAGCAGCGGAGCGUGUGGUUUAAUUCGACGCAACGCGCAGAACUUACCUGGUCUUGACAUCCCGGAAUCUUGUGGAAACACGAGAGUGCCUCGCAAGAGGAGCCUGGAGACAGGUGCUGCAUUGGCUGUCGUCAGCUCGUGUCGUGAGAUGUUGGGUUAAGUCCCGCAACGAGCGCAACCCCUAUCUUUAGUUGCCAUCAUUGAGUUGGGCACUCUAAAGAGACUGCCGGUGUCAAACCGGAGGAAGGUGGGGAUGACGUCAAGUCCUCAUGGCCUUUAUGACCAGGGCUACACACGUACUACAAUGGCCGGUACAAAGGGCAGCGACACAGCGAUGUGAAGCGAAUCCCGAAAAGCCGGUCUCAGUCCGGAUUGGAGUCUGCAACUCGACUCCAUGAAGUUGGAAUCGCUAGUAAUCGUGGAUCAGCAUGCCACGGUGAAUACGUUCCCGGGCCUU